ACACACACACACACACACACACACACACACACACACACACACACACACACACACACACACACACACACACACACACACGCACUAACACAUGCACGCACGCACUCUUCUGCUGCUUCCUCAUAGAGUCAUGUAUUUUUCAUAGGUUUUGUUAUAGAAGUCCUCCAACGUGUGUGCAUGUGAGUGAUUUAACUUAUGUAUGCAUCUUAUCACACAUCGCUGGACUACCCAGUUCAGAUUUUGCAAUUAGGUAUUUGUUUUUUUCUUGCACUCUUUUUCUUCUUUUUAGCCUUCUCUCUAUACCUUCAACUUUAAUUUCCAUUUUCCUUUCCUUCUUUUCGAAAAUUUCACAAAAACCCCUCUUAUCAUAAAAUAAACCCAGAGUCUCCUAAUUUCAAUUUGGCUAAAACCGCCCCCUACGUCACCAGGUUUUGUUUUUUCGUUCUGCUUUGACUACAACUCCCACAAUGCAUCGGGGGUGGUGCCUCGCCGUGCUUCUGGCUCUCCGGCUGCAGCGUACCACUACGAUCAGGCAACCAGCAGCAGCGAGCAACGCUUUCUCUCUCCCCCCCGACCUAAACAAUGACUACUACCAGCACCACUGAGCGGAGGUCGGGGAUCCAGUAGCAUGCGUAAAACACGGCACCAAAUCUCUCCAUUUCGCCGCUUUUCCAAACCGUUGACUUUAACGCGCCAGCUGUAAACAUGUGGAUACCCACUGAACACGAGAAAUACGGCGUCGGGAUCGACCGAUUUUUUUGACCGAUAACCGAAGCGGGCCAAAAGCGUUGCUGUUUUACCGACCGGAUACGGCAAGAGUCUUAUCUAUCGGUUAGCUCCACUGGUCUGGAUACGGCACCCCUUGCAUUCUUCUGAUUGGUCGAAGUGUUAUCCAACGAGUGUUAUUCUUCAGUGAUAUUUUCAAAUGCAUGCUUGGUGCCUCGCCACGGGUAUUUCCGACGCUGUCUGUCAAUCUGUCAUCUAGAUCCGUGGCAAUAUCUACAUUUUUAAUCACGAACUGGACGUUGAUGUAAAGGGGCUGCCCCUCGAGUUGGGCCAUUUUCAUUACUCGUUGCCAGACCCUACAGCUUUCUAGAUGUGGGUCUGGAUUACCAGGCUAAGCCUCCCUCAAUUUACAUCCUACAAAUGACACAAUGAUGAUAACAAAUGUUACAAUGUGUCAAUUUUCCAAAAAUUUAAAUUUAUUGAACUGUCUGUAAAUCAUCCAAAAAGAAACGGCUGAUAAACGUAAAAAAAAAAGCAAAUAUAUGCCGAUAAUAUCGGCCGGCCGAUAUAUCGGUCGUUCACUAGUUUAUAUGUGUGUAUCAUGGGCUUUGUGUGGCUGUGGGUGUGUGUGUGUGUUACCAGGGGUGUGUGUGUGUGUACCCAGGGGUGUAUGUGAGUCUGUAAGUGUGUGCCAUGGGGUGUGUGUGUGUGUGUUUGUGCCUGUGUGUGUGUGUGUGUGUGUGUGUGUGUGUGUGUGUGUGUGUGUGUGUGUGUACCCAGGGUUGUGAGUCUGUGCUCAGGGGUGUGUGUGUGUGUGUGCUUGGUUUUGUGUGUGUGUGCCCACCGCCCAGCGGUAUGUGUGUAUUGGGGGG
ensembl:lncRNA